ACAGGAGGCUCAGGAUAGAAAUAUAGGGUUGGCAUGGACCUCACGCAGUCAUCAAGUCCAGCCCCCGUGCUGAGGAAGGACCAAGUAAACCUAGACAACCCCUGACAGGUUUGUCCAACCUGUUCUUAAAAACCUCCAGUGACAGGAAUUCUGCAACCUCCUUUGGAAUCCUGUCCCAGAGCUUAACUAUCCUCUAGUAUCUGACCUAAAUCUCCCUUGCUGCAGAUUAAGCCCAUGACUUCUUGGCCUGCCUUCCGUGGACAUGAAGAACAAUUGAUCAUCAACCUCUUUGUGCCAGCCCUUACCAUAUUGGAAGACUAUCACGACCCCCUCAAUCUUUUCUCAAACCUAAACAUGCCCCGUUUUUAUUAACCUUUCCUUACAGAUCGGGAUUUCUAAACCUUUUAGCAUUUUUGGUGUUCUCUUCUGGACUCCCACCAAUUUCUCCACAUUUUUCUACAGUGCUCCAGCUGAGGCCUCACCAGUGGUUUGCUACCACUUCCUCCCUGUUGGUGAGACUCAACUGUACAAUGGCUUUCCUCCUGGUUACUUCCGCCUCUUUCUCAAACCCAAGCUGACUAGAUGAUCUGAUGGACCCUUCUGAACUCUUCAGAAACGGACCCAGCUGUGAAAUUGACCUUGAGCUGGUCUCUUACUCAAAGCAGAACAGCAGGUCUAAUUCCAGCCAUCAGCUCUGGGGAGGAAUCCUUCCCCCACUGGCAUCCAGCCCCAUGGGCAGGAUCAGGGUCUUGGAGUCAUGAGCAGUGACUGGCAGCAUGGGAGAGUAGUGGGGACUUUGAUGGUAGCUAAGCUGUGUCCCCACUUGUCACAGAGCCACAACGCUGACCUAUAUUAAAAGAGGGGUAAUUUUA